AAUGGAAUGACUGAAUAGUAGGUGAUAAAUUGUAAAUUUAUAGAUGAUUAAUAAAUAAUCUUCCAUUA
rnacentral:tRNA from 1 species